ACCUGUUUGUCCAUUCUCUUGCUGAAGAUUGUGCAUGCUGUGGUCAAGUUUCGUGCAAGAAUUAAGGAAUGCUACAGUUCUAGUUCGAGCUGUCUCCCAUAUUCUGUCCGAUGACCCGCAAUGGCUUCUUUAGGUUGUCCUGAACAAUAAUUUACCAAGGUAUUCAAAUUAAAAACAUAUAAUUAGUCCACCAACUUUUAUUAAAAUCAAAGAACAAAUAAAAUAGUAGUACAACUUACAAAGUCACCGUCAUAUAUACUUUAUUCUUUUUUUUUUCUGUAGCAACACAAAUCGUCAUAGUGAUACUUGAGCACCGAAUUCUUUAUCUUAUGUCAUUGUAAAGACCCAUAAUUUUUCUCUCUCAAUAUAAAAACCCCAAGUCAUAUCAUUUUAUAAAGACAAAAGAUGAGAGAGAGAGGUUGUGUGUUGGGAAAAUUCUUCUUGCACUGGCUUCACUUCUGAAUUCUGAUGGAGCAGUUCUUAGCUUAGCCAGCUAUAGCCUGUAAGCCUGUUUGUUUGUCUGUUUGGUGUGAACCAUCCCUUCACGAGCCCUAGUGACCUACCUUGAGCAUAUCGGCACCCCGGCCAAUUCGGCCAAUGCCAUUACGAAACGAUAGCCCAGUCAUGCUCUCUGCCAAUGGAUACGCAGGCAGAACUUAGCAAUCAACCGUAAGUAACGCAUCGAUCAAAGAUUGAAGACAGGCACAUGCCUCAUCCAUCUAGCUUCUUCUUCCUUGACGUUCAAGUAGGAUCGAGGCCUUGCUUGGAUCCCCUGCAAUGUCAGUGGAGUGGACAGCUAGCUAGCCCACACACACACGCU
rnacentral:lncRNA from 1 species